rnacentral:rRNA from 1 species
UUGAUCCUGCCAGUAGUCAUAUGCUUGUCUCAAGGAUUAAGCCAUGCAUGUCUAAGUACAUACCAAACUAAGGUGAAACCGCGAAUGGCUCAUUAAAUCAGUUAUGGUUCACAAGAUAUUGCCAAUCCUACUUGGAUAACUGUGGUAAUUCUAGAGCUAAUACAUGCAUUUAAGCCCUAACCUCACGGGAAGGGCGCAGUUAUUAGUUUUAAAACCAAUCGGGUCUCGUCCCGCUCAUUUGGUGACUCUGGAUAACCUUCUGCCGAGCGAAUGGUCCUUGAACCGUCGCCGCAUCUUUCAAGUGUCUGCCUUAUCAGCUCUCGAUUGUAGGUUAUGCGCCUACAAUGGCUAUAACGGGUAACGGGGAAUCAGGGUUCGAUUCCGGAGAGAGGGCCUGAGAGACGGCCAUCACAUCCAAGGAAGGCAGCAGGCGCGCAAAUUACCCACUCCUAGUCCAGGGAGGUAGCGACGAAAAAUAACGAUGCGGGACUCAUCCGAGGCCUCGCAAUCGGAAUGAGUACAUUAUAAAUCCCUUAACGAGGAUCAAUUGGAGGGCAAGUCUGGUGCCAGCAGCCGCGGUAAUUCCAGCUCCAAUAGCGUAUAUUAAAGUUGCUGCGGUUAAAAAGCUCGUAGUUGGAUCUCAGUUCCAGACCAGUGUUUCUCCGCCCGGAGUUAAUUCUGGCUCUGAACAGUCCGCCGUUCUGCUCGGGGUGCUCUUCAUCGAGUGUCCCGGGUGGUCGGCACGUUUACUUUGAAAAAAUUAGAGUGCUCAAAGCAGGCUUUACGCCUGAAUAGUUGUGCAUGGAAUGAUGAAAUAGGACCUCGGUUCUAUUUUGUUGGCUUCCGGAACCCGAGGUAAUGAUAAAUCGGGACAGACGGGGGCAUUCGUAUUGCGACGCUAGAGGUGAAAUUCUUGGACCGUCGCAAGACGAACUACAGCGAAGGCAUUUGCCAAGAAUGUUUUCAUUAAUCAAGAACGAAAGUUAGAGGUUCGAAGGCGAUCAGAUACCGCCCUAGUUCUAACCUUAAACGAUGCCAACUAGCAAUCCGCAUUAGUUAUUUUAAUGACUCUGCGGGCAGCUUCCGGGAAACCAAAGUCUUUGGGUUCCGGGGGAAGUAUGGUUGCAAAGCUGAAACUUAAAGGAAUUGACGGAAGGGCACCACCAGGAGUGGAGCCUGCGGCUUAAUUUGACUCAACACGGGAAACCUCACCAGGCCCGGACACUGGAAGGAUUGACAGAUUGAGAGCUCUUUCUUGAUUCGGUGGGUGGUGGUGCAUGGCCGUUCUUAGUUGGUGGAGCGAUUUGUCAGGUUAAUUCCGAUAACGAACGAGACUCUAGCCUACUAACUAGUCGACAGAUUCUCCGAAGUCUGUCGAUUCUUCUUCUUAGAGGGAUAAGCGAAAUCUACUCGCACGAAAUUGAGCAAUAACAGGUCUGUGAUGCCCUUAGAUGUCCUGGGCCGCACGCGCGCUACACUGAAGGGAUCAGCGUGUUUUCCCUCUCUGAGAAGAGCGGGUAACCCGUUGAAACCCCUUCGUGAUAGGGAUUGGGGCUUGAAAUUUUUCCCCAUGAACGAGGAAUUCCCAGUAAGCGCAAGUCAUCAGCUUGCGUUGAUUACGUCCCUGCCCUUUGUACACACCGCCCGUCGCUACUACCGAUUGAAUGAUUUAGUGAGGGCUUUGGACUGGUGCUCUUUGUUUUACUACAUCGGGCAACCGGGAAGAUGUCCAAACUUGAUCAUUUAGAGGAAGUAAAAGUCGUAACAAGGUUUCCGUAGGUGAACCGUC